rnacentral:rRNA from 1 species
GUGGGGAAUCUUCCGCAAUGGACGAAAGUCUGACGGAGCAACGCCGCGUGAGUGAUGACGGUCUUCGGAUUGUAAAGCUCUGUUAAUCGGGACGAAAGAGCUCUGUGUGAAUAAUGCAGAGAAGUGACGGUACCGGAAUAGAAAGCCACGGCUAACUACGUGCCAGCAGCCGCGGUAAUACGUAGGUGGCAAGCGUUGUCCGGAAUUAUUGGGCGUAAAGCGCGCGCAGGCGGGUUUUUAAGUCUGUCUUAAAAGUUCGGGGCUUAACCCCGGGAGGGGAUGGAAACUGGAAACCUAGAGUAUCGGAGAGGAAAGCGGAAUUCCUAGUGUAGCGGUGAAAUGCGUAGAUAUUAGGAAGAACACCAGUGGCGAAGGCGGCUUUCUGGACGAAAACUGACGCUGAGGCGCGAAAGCCAGGGGAGCAAACGGGAUUAGAUACCCUUGUAGUCC